AUGACGCAACGGCCAGCCGAGGCUUCCGGGUCAUGUACCAAACCAGGGAAAGAUAAGGGACUCCAAGUCCCAGCCGGGGAGCGGUGAAACAGCCACAGCGCGGCCAGAGGGGUCCGCGAAUCCCACAGCACGACGCACGCGCAGUGAAAGGCAGUAGAAGGCGGGGCGACGCACACGGCUUCCUGGGAGGUGUAGUUUUCUCUACGAGUGCCCUUCGAGAUCGAUUGGAGGCUCGCGCAGGAGCCGUGAGUUGCCUAAGGCAGCCUUUUCAUUAACCAAACUUCUUGAAGCCACAUCUGCAGUAUCAGCUCAAGUGGAAGAACUUGCCUUCAAAUGUACAGAAAAUGCACGUUUCCUUAAAACGUGGCGGGACCUCUUGAAAGAAGGCUAUGAUUCUUUGAAACCUGAUGACUGAUUUGGCAUACUUCGUUGUUUAAUAAUGACUGCAAUAAUUCAUACUUCUUAUGUCAUAUUUUGUACAUGUACCACACAUAUAGGAUGACCUCUGUCCAGCAGUUCUGUAUAUACUCAGAAUGAAAUUUUUCUUGGUUUUCUUGGUUUUUGUGAAAGCAGAAUACCGAUGCUAUUUUUGUUGCGGACCAGUACUUGUUUGUCCUUAAAUACUUUAUGCCUCUGAACUUUCAUAGAAUCCUUUAUGAAAGUUAACUUCAUCAAUAGACGGUUAAUAUUAAUAGAGCCACAGUGCUACCAGUAGCAAACUAGGUAGACCAUUAUUUGUUUUGCAACAAGAUGCUAAGCAUGGCAGACUUUGAAGUUGCGUUUCAUCUUAAGGACCAAGGGAGGUAACUUUAAGGUUGCCAGUGGUGGAUCCAGCUCCGUUAGGCUAAGUUGUCUACAGCUAAUGAUUGUGUCUUUAUUCUAUAUCCCCAGCACCUAAAACAGGGUCACACAACAUUCACUAAAUGUUUGUUGAAUAAAAGAGUUAACAAACAUAAUUGAAAGCUUUUUUUCUUCCUAUAUUUAGCAUGAAGACUGUCAUUGUUUCUCUAGGAAAUGUAUGAAUCUGAACUUUUUUGACUUGAAGAAAAACAUUCUUUUUUUACAGAGAUUUGGACUUUGAUGAUAGGUUUUAAAAAUAUAUGAUAAAUAUUUUUUGUACUUGUUUGAUUUUUUUUUUAAAGACUUUACUUCAGAAAGGGAAAGACUGUUUAGAAAGAAUGCAUAUUUUUUCCCUAUUUAUUUCUGUGGUUACUGCUUUUGCAGUUUAACAGUGUUUGUAUUUGAUAUUUGUAUAUGUUUGAUUGCUAUCUUUAAAGUGCCUUAUCAGAUUUAUGGCUCUGUGCUAUUACUUUUUGAGCUUUGCAAGUUGUGUACAUAAUAAUUCUAAAGAAGUUACUUUGUUUGCAAUGCAUCAAAUUUAAAUGAUGUGAUUUUUUUUGUAUUAUUUGAUCUUAGUGACAGUGUUCUAUUUUGCAUCCUGUAUCUUAUGUUGCUUUUGGUGUUUUGUGUUGUGUGUCAACGAUUAAGCCAACUAAUUCUCUACCAUAUAUAACUUCUGGACAUUUUUGAUACAACAUCUUAAUUCUUUGUAGAUAUGGAGAUAGGUACAGAACUAUAUUCUAAUGCCCCACAAUGGGGCUAUGAGAGGGGACAGAUGGAUGGGCAAAGAAUAGUUUUGUUUAACAUAUUAGGUCAUAGUUCUUGAUUAGUUUUUUUAGUUAAAGAUAAACACAUAGGGUGUGAUUUCUAUACCAAAGAUAUGCUUAUUUCAGUAUUAGAAAAAUAUUCUUCUUACAUCUCCUGAAAAUUGCAAUUUUUAAAAUGUGUAAAAAUAAAUUAUUAUUAAAAGCACAUUUUAUUUCCAUUUGUUUGGAUUCAUUACCUUAAAACUUUAUUGACAUAUUUCAAAGAUAUAGGAAAGGUAAAUGAUUUCAAGAAAAUCCGUGUAUUUCUACCAUGCAGAUGUAAUAAAUGUUAGCAUUUGGCUAUAUUUUCUUCAGACACACAUAUGCAUGUAAUUGCAAAUGUUAGAUACAUUUGAAGUUUGCUUUGUUACCUGUUUGAUCCUGUCCCGUUCCUCCCUCCCCAGAGUCCCCAGAGGUAACCACUAGAGGGGGCAUAAUAUAGCAUGUGUUUUUAUAUUUUUAAUACAAAUAUAUUUUUUAAAAGCGCUACAAAAUAUUGUUUUAUAUAUGUGGUAGCCAGCUUCCAGAUGGCCCCAGUGAUCCCUGGCCUCCUGGUGUUCAUGCCCCAGUAUAGCCUUCUCCUGCAUUUUACAGUGCUGACUUUUGUAACUACCAGGAUAUUGAGCAAAUGCAGUGUGUGAUUUCUGAGGCCAUAUCUUUUACUCUUUUUUUUUUUUUUAAGAGACAAGAUCUCACUCUAUUGCUCAGGCUGGAGUGUGGUGGCAGGAUCAUAGCUCACUGUAACCUUAAACUUGGACUCAAACAAUCCUCCCAUCUCGCCUCCUCCUAUAAAGCACUGGGAUUACAGGCAUUUUUGCUCAUUUUUCUAUGUUGUUUUUUUUACUUGUCAGUUUUUAGAUAUUACAUAUUUUGAAUACUAAUGAUCUGUUAUGUAUGUUCCAAUUAUCUUUUUUAGUCUGGUUUGUCUUCAUAUUUUGGUUAUGAAAUCUUGAAUUUUUAAAAACGUAAUUUUACCAAUCUUUCAUAAUGAUUUGCUUUUUCUGGUUUUUGUAUAGGAAAUGUCAUAAAAAUAGUCCUAUUCAGCCUUCCAAAAGUUACAAAAUUUUUGUUUUUAACAUUUAGAUGUUUAGUCCAACUGAAAUUUGUUUUCUUUUAUGGCAUGAUUUUGGAAUCUUGUUUUAAUUAUUUUUACAUAUUUAUAGCUGUUCCUCCAAGUAUCAAUUUUUCAAGUGCAACAUCUGUCAUGCAGUUACUAUGUAAGGGCCAGAUUCUGACCUUUCUGUUCUUUUUAUCUGAAGGAAAUUUGAACAUGCCACCCCCAAAUAUGCCGAUUUGGCAUACUGAUUAUUUCGAGCUAAAGGUGCUUGACUAACAGUAGUUGCAGAAAUGGCUAUUUUAACUGUCCUUUCCUACCUGUAGCAAGCCAUACAAACUUCUUUGAUAAAGAUGCUUUCCUGAUACCAAGAUGAGAAGAUGGCUCUAAUCAGCUGAGACAGCACCAGAGGAAUCUACAAACAAGAAACUAUUAGUUUCUUAACAUAUAUUUACCUUCCACAGUUUCUGCCUCUGGAAGCCUAAAACUGCUUUCCUUCGUCUUGUCACACUUCUCUGAAAUGUAUUCUUUGUGGAAGAUGCUAUAUAGUCCAGAGUUGUAAGCCACUACUUGUGUUUACCUUUUCAUUGAGUUUUCUCCUGUGUGAUGUACGUUGCAUAUAUUAAUAAAAUUACUUGUUUUUCUCUUGUUAA
rnacentral:lncRNA from 1 species